rnacentral:rRNA from 1 species
UACGUAGGGUGCGAGCGUUUGUCCGGAAUUAUUGGGGCGUAAAGGGCUCGUAGGCGGUCUGUCGCGUCGAAAAGUGAAAACCCCAGGGCUUAACCCUGGGCCUGCUUCCGAUACGGGCAGACUAGAGGUAUGCAGGGGAGAACGGAAUUCCUGGUGUAGCGGUGAAAUGCGCAGAUAUCAGGAGGAACACCGGUGGCGAAGGCGGGUCUCUGGGCCGAUACUGACGCUGAGGAGCGAAAAGCGUGGGGAGCGAACAGG